UUCCUUCCGGUCAAUGAGGUAUAACAUCCUCAUGGACGGAAGGAAUCCCUUCCGGAUGAUGAGGAUGUUAUACCUCAUUGACUGGAAGGGAUACCCUCCAUUGAGAUGUUAUACCUCAUUGACCUGAUGGAAUCCCUUCUGUCGAUGAGGAUGUUAUACCUCAUCAACCGGAAGGAA
rnacentral:miRNA from 1 species